AAAAUCCACAUACAAUAUUGGAGUGGAUUUUCUCACCAACUGAUCAUUAUUCAUAAAUGUGAAACCCUUGUACAUCCCAACACCUUCUCAGCAUUGAUUUCAGGAAAUUCGAUCGAGGCGGCACGAGCGAGGAAGCAAUCACGAGCAAGGAAGCGACAGUUAUGCGUUCGAGUUUUUUUCGGUACAGCAGUGCACUGUCUAUAUUGAGCAAUUCCUGGUAAAAGUGCAGGAAAUUUCUGACGAUAGCGUGUGAAUUUGAUUGGGUCAAAGGAACGAGAUAGGUAUCCGUUGAUAUUAUAGACUAAUAGGUGAAGUUUGUAGCCCUGGUUUAAUUUAAUUUGGAGUGUAAGGAAAAGAAGAAGACGUUUGCCUAUAUAGAUCUUUGUGUAAGCUGCUGAGUUGGAAAUUUCGUCAGUGGUGAUUGGCCAUCAAUUUAUGAUGGAUGAAGCUUCAAGCAACUUGAACUCAUUGCCUCCCUUCCUUGCCAAGACGUAUGAAAUGGUGGAGGAUCAUACUAUUGACUCGGUUGUAUCUUGGAGUGAGAACAAUAAGAGCUUUAUUGUGCAGAACCCCCCAGAAUUUGCGAGAGAAAUUCUCCCCAAAUUCUUUAAGCACAACAAUUUCUCCAGCUUUAUUAGGCAGCUCAAUACAUAUGGUUUCAGAAAGGUUGAUCCCGAACGUUGGGAAUUCGCAAAUGAGGAUUUCUUGAGAGGGCAUCCCCACCUUUUGAAGAAUAUCCAUAGGCGAAAGCCUGUUUACAGCCACUCCACACCAAAUCUUGCCUCAUUGCCUCCCCUAACUGAAUUGGAAAGGAAAGGAUACAAGGAGGAUAUUGAGAAACUAAAGUCUGAUAAAGAACUGCUUCAUGUGGAAUUACAGAGUUACAAAGAGGAGCAGCAAUUGGAAAUGAGGGCAGUCACUGAACGAAUGAGAAUCGUGGAAAAUCGCCAUUCAAAUAUGUUAUCCUCAUUGGCAAACACAGUACAGCAACUUGCUUUUUCAUUGGAUCUAAUGGCACAAGUGGAAGUUCAUUAUAGAAAAAGAAGAUUUCCAAGAAAUAGUCCGUUGCAUGAUGAAGCUGACACGGAGGAUAAUCAGAGGGCGUCUCAAAAUGUGACAGCUGAAAAUUCAGAUGCUAAUUCACUUCUGAAUUUCAACAAGGAAUCAUUGGAGCAGCUAGAGUCUUCUUUAUCAUUCUGGGAAAGAAUCAUACUUGAUGCUGGAGAAAGUUUGACCCAGCCUCUGGAUUCAACAUUGGGUGAAUCAGAAAGCUGUGCACUCAGUCCGAGCAUAUCUUACACGCAACUAAAUCUCGAUGUUGUAGGAAAGACCAUUGAUAUUGACAUGAAUUCUGAACCUCAAACUGCCAGUGUUCCGGAGGGGCAAUCUUCUUCUGAAGAACAAGCAGCAACGGACAGACAGGCAGGAGUCAAUGACAUAUUUUGGGAACAGUUUCUUACUGAAAAUCCUGGCUCAAAGGACCCCCCUGAAUUUCUCUCAGUGAAAAAAGAUACACAAGACAAGAAAAAUGACAACAAACCGGGUGACCACUCAAUACGUUGGUGGCAAACAAGGAGUGUAGAUAACCUUACUGAACAGUUGGGACAUCUUACUCCAGCACAAAAAACCUGAUCCUAGAUCAGUCUUCAGUUCAAAGCAUACCUCCAGGAAAACAUUGAUAAUGAGCUCAUGGUGUCCAUCCUGGUUCAACGUCAGGAUGAUUUGUCUCAGGAUUGCUGCUGCUACUGUUCUGCUUGAACCUGGAAAACCAGGAACCUGGAAGAACACGAGUGAUAAUGGAGGAGGCAUGAGGUGAAUAAGAAGAAGAAGAUGGAAUGUCCAAAUAUAUGUGCAAACUAAGCUACCUUCACAACACAGACACUGAAAUGGAGACAGAUGACAAUGCAACAUCACCAGCAAAUGCAUACCCAACUCCCAAUCCUCCCAAGUGCAAGGAAGCGGCGGCGCCGUCGCCGUCGCCCUCGCACCGCCGGAAAACCCGUGCCAGCGACG